rnacentral:rRNA from 1 species
CAUGGAGCUGAAAUCAGUCGAAGAUACCAGCUGGCUGCAACUGUUUAUUAAAAACACAGCACUGUGCAAACACGAAAGUGGACGUAUACGGUGUGACGCCUGCCCGGUGCCGGAAGGUUAAUUGAUGGGGUUAUCCGUAAGGAGAAGCUCUUGAUCGAAGCCCCGGUAAACGGCGGCCGUAACUAUAACGGUCCUAAGGUAGCGAAAUUCCUUGUCGGGUAAGUUCCGACCUGCACGAAUGGCGUAAUGAUGGCCAGGCUGUCUCCACCCGAGACUCAGUGAAAUUGAACUCGCUGUGAAGAUGCAGUGUACCCGCGGCAAGACGGAAAGACCCCGUGAACCUUUACUAUAGCUUGACACUGAACACUGGUCCUUGAUGUGUAGGAUAGGUGGGAGGCUUUGAAGCGUGGACGCCAGUCUGCGUGGAGCCAACCUUGAAAUACCACCCUUUAAUGGCUGGUGUUCUAACGUAGACCCGUUACCCGGGUUGCGGACAGUGUCUGGUGGGUAGUUUGACUGGGGCGGUCUCCUCCUAAAGAGUAACGGAGGAGCACGAAGGUUAGCUAAUCCUGGUCGGACAUCAGGAGGUUAGUGCAAAGGCAUAAGCUAGCUUGACUGCGAGAGUGACGGCUCGAGCAGGUGCGAAAGCAGGUCUUAGUGAUCCGGUGGUUCUGAAUGGAAGGGCCAUCGCUCAACGGAUAAAAGGUACUCCGGGGAUAACAGGCUGAUACCGCCCAAGAGUUCAUAUCGACGGCGGUGUUUGGCACCUCGAUGUCGGCUCAUCACAUCCUGGGGCUGAAGUAGGUCCCAAGGGUAUGGCUGUUCGCCAUUUAAAGUGGUACGCGAGCUGGGUUUAGAACGUCGUGAGACAGUUCGGUCCCUAUCUGCCGUGGGCGCUGGAGAAUUGAGGGGGGCUGCUCCUAGUACGAGAGGACCGGAGUGGACGCAUCACUGGUGUUCGGGUUGUCAUGCCAAUGGCAUUGCCCGGUAGCUAAAUGCGGAA